CUGCACUAGGGAAGCUACUUCGUCCCAGGCCUCUCUCUUCAUGGGGUGAGUCCUCAUGGAACCUGCGCCUCCGCAGACACUGCAGCAAUGACAGGUUGAGCCCAGACUGUGGUGUAAGGGGACUUGGGUGGUGUGAGCAGUUGCUCGUUUGCCCUUACAGCUGGAUUUGGUAAUGUGGAAUAUAUAAUGGCUUUGAAGCCAUGAAGGGAUCAUGGAGAGCAGCUGAGGCUUGGCACUGUGGGAGGCCAAGGAAGGCCAUUGGUGAAGGUGCAGUGUCAGUUGAAGCCUGGUACCAUGAAGGGAGCCCGUGAGAGGCCAUUGGUGAAGCCUAGUUGCAGCAGAAGACUGCAGCACACUGGAGACGCCAGUACCAUGGGAUGAUAACCAAGAACAGCAGCAGCAGUGGAGUAGAGUCAACCAGAGCCUAGAGUGCUACAUUGGGCAGAGCUGGAGAAGGGACGCUAGCCUUUUGGAGGACCUCAAAGGAUCAUGUGUGGAUCCCGGACAUUGGAACAAAAAACUGUAAAGUCGAAAUUGCCUUGGAUACCCCAAGAUAUGAAAGAUACGGGCUGAGGAAAGCUGCUAUCAGGGAGUGAAAACAGCACAAAAGAAAUGAAGUUUGUUUUUGCUGGAUGCCAGAUCUGUCAACAACACUCAACAAGGAUGAAAGGAGUUAGAGAUCUGAAGAGCGCUUUGACAUUGGACAUGGAGACAUGGAGUUUGGAGUUUGACCAACUAGUAUUUUCUUGCUUUGGUCCAGUAUUUCCUUGCUAUGAUGUUUUGGAAUAAUUAUGUAUAUCCUAUGCCAUGAUAUGUUGGAAGCAUGUGAUCUGUGUUUUGAUUUUGAUUUUAUAGGAGAUUACAGUUAAGAGAUUGCAUGAAUCGCAAGAGAGACUUUGAACUUUGGACUUUCAACACUGAUGAGACUGAUAGACCAUGGGGGUUUUUCAAGUUGGACUAAAUGUAUUUUUGCGUUAUGCCAUGGCUAGGAGUGGCCCCCACAGAGUCAUGUGUUUCAACAAGUCUAUGGAGGCCAGAGAGUGGAAUGUGGUGAUUUGAAUAUGCUUGGCCCAAAAGAAGUGGUGCUGUUAGGAGGUGUGGCCUUGUUGGAGGAAGUGUGUCACUGUGGUGAUGAGCUUUGGAAGUCUCCUACUAUGCUCAGGCUGCACCCAUUACAGAAGAGAGCUUCCUCCUUGCUGCCAGAGGAUGCCAGUCUUUCUCCAGCCCGCAGUUGGAUCAACAUGCAGAAUUCUCAGCUCCUUCUAUAGCACCAUGUCUGCCUGGAUGUUCCCAUGCUUCCUGCCAUGUGAACCAACACUGAUUAAAUGUUGUCCCUUAUACAA